GAUGAACGCUGGCGGCGUGCCUAAUACAUGCAAGUCGAGCGAACAGACGAGGAGCUUGCUCCUUUGACGUUAGCGGCGGACGGGUGAGUAACACGUGGGUAACCUACCUAUAAGACUGGGAUAACUUCGGGAAACCGGAGCUAAUACCGGAUAAUAUUUCGAACCGCAUGGUUCGAUAGUGAAAGAUGGCUUUGCUAUCACUUAUAGAUGGACCUGCGCCGUAUUAGCUAGUUGGUAAGGUAACGGCUUACCAAGGCAACGAUACGUAGCCGACCUGAGAGGGUGAUCGGCCACACUGGAACUGAGACACGGUCCAGACUCCUACGGGAGGCAGCAGUAGGGAAUCUUCCGCAAUGGGCGAAAGCCUGACGGAGCAACGCCGCGUGAGUGAUGAAGGUCUUCGGAUCGUAAAACUCUGUUAUUAGGGAAGAACAAACGUGUAAGUAACUGUGCCCGUCUUGACGGUACCUAAUCAGAAAGCCACGGCUAACUACGUG
rnacentral:rRNA from 1 species